rnacentral:rRNA from 1 species
CCUACGGGAGGCAGCAGUGGGGAAUAUUGCACAAUGGGCGAAAGCCUGAUGCAGCAACGCCGCGUGAGCGAUGAAGGCCUUCGGGUCGUAAAGCUCUGUCCUCAAGGAAGAGAAUGACGGUACGUGAGGAGGAAGCCCCGGCUAACUACGUGCCAGCAGCCGCGGUAAUACGUAGGGGGCUAGCGUUAUCCGGAAUUACUGGGCGUAAAGGGGGCGUAGGUGGUUUCUUACGUCCGAGGUUAAAGGCUACGGCUCAACCGUAGUUAGCCUUUGAAACUGGGGAACUUGAGUGCAGGAGAGGUGAGUGGAAUUCCUAGUGUAGCCGUUCACUUCUUAGAU